rnacentral:rRNA from 1 species
UACGAAGGUCCCAAGCGUUGUUCGGAAUCACUGGGCGUAAAGGGAGCGUAGGCGGCGUGGUAAGUCAGAUGUGAAAUCCCGGGGCUCAACCCCGGAACUGCAUCCGAUACUGCCAUGCUAGAGGAUUGGAGAGGUAGCUGGAAUUCUUGGUGUAGCAGUGAAAUGCGUAGAGAUCAAGAGGAACACCGAUGGCGAAGGCAGCCUCCUGGGCCAGCACUGACGCUCAUGCACGAAAGCGUGGGGAGCAAACAGG